CUGCACAUGGCGGUUUCAGCACUUGCUGUUUCUGAAUGUUUGUUCAUGUGCUGACGCAUUUGCAUUUGGUGAUGCUUCGCCGUUGCAGACGCAGUACUUGGUGUCACGCUGGGGCUCUGACCCGAACUCUCUGGGGUCCUAUUCGUGCGACCUGGUCGGGAAGCCGGCCGACGUCUGCGUGAGGUUCUCCGCUCCCGUGGAGAACCUGUACUUCGCCGGUGAGGCGGCCAGUGCCGACCACUCGGGGUCCGUGCACGGCGCGUACUCGUCGGGCCUCGCCGCCGCAGAAGAUUGUAGGAAGCGCCUCCUGACGCUGAAGGGCGUCCCGGACCUAGU
rnacentral:lncRNA from 1 species